rnacentral:lncRNA from 1 species
CUCCACCAGAUUAUUAGCUUGAAUUACUGCCAUUGAAAAUUCUCCGCUUACAUGGGAUCCUAAAUCUUUAUACCACAUCAAUCCAUUACUCCGUCCAUUAUCAUCCCCACCACCUCUACGACUUCCAUCGCCCUCCACAGACGGUUUCCAACAAGGUUUAAUCAUGAUUUCCUCUUCAAUCAAUAUCCAACCAGUUGAAUAUAUACCAAAAACGCAACCAACCUUCCAGAUUAUAUAUUCAUUAAAUCACACAGAAACAAACCCCACACCAACAUAUAAUAUAUAUUAUCCAAAUGAUCCAGCAAACAAUAAAUUCAUUAAAUCAAGCCUGAGCUCCAACUUUUGUUUAUGCUCCAAACCCACAACUCCAAUUCCUGAUACAAUAUACCC